UGGGGAAUAUUGCACAAUGGGGGAAACCCUGAUGCAGCGACGCCGCGUGGAGGAAGAAGGUCUUCGGAUUGUAAACUCCUGUUGUUGAGGAAGAUGAUGACGGUACUCAACAAGGAAGUGACGGCUAACUACGUGCCAGCAGCCGCGGUAAAACGUAGGUCACAAGCGUUGUCCGGAAUUACUGGGUGUAAAGGGAGCGCAGGCGGGCGAUCAAGUUGGAAGUGAAAUCCAUGGGCUCAACCCAUGAACUGCUUUCAAAACUGGUCGUCUUGAGUAGUGCAGAGGUAGGCGGAAUUCCCGGUGUAGCGGUGGAAUGCGUAGAUAUCGGGAGGAACACCAGUGGCGAAGGCGGCCUACUGGGCACCAACUGACGCUGAGGCUCGAAAGUGUGGGUAGCAAACAGGAUUAGAUACCCUGGUAGUCCACACCGUAAACGAUGAUUACUAGGUGUUGGGAGAUUGACCCUCUCAGUGCCGCAGUUAACACAAUAAGUAAUCCACCUGGGGAGUACGACCGCAAGGUUGAAACUCAAAGGAAUUGACGGGGGCCCGCACAAGCAGUGGAGUAUGUGGUUUAAUUCGACGCAACGCGAAGAACCUUACCAAGUCUUGACAUCCUCUGACGAACGUAGAAAUACGUUUUCUCUUCGGAGCAGAGAGACAGGUGGUGCAUGGUUGUCGUCAGCUCGUGUCGUGAGAUGUUGGGUUAAGUCCCGCAACGAGCGCAACCCUUAUGGUCAGUUACUACGCAAGAGGACUCUGGCCAGACUGCCGUUGACAAAACGGAGGAAGGUGGGGAUGACGUCAAAUCAUCAUGCCCUUUAUGACUUGGGCUACACACGUACUACAAUGGCGUUAAACAAAGAGAAGCAAGACCGCGAGGUGGAGCAAAACUCAGAAACAACGUCCCAGUUCGGACUGCAGGCUGCAACUCGCCUGCACGAAGUCGGAAUUGCUAGUAAUCGUGGAUCAGCAUGCCACGGUGAAUACGUUCCC
rnacentral:rRNA from 1 species